rnacentral:lncRNA from 1 species
UUGGAGUGUUAGGGAUAACCCCCCAUAUGGAAGCCUCUCACCAUUCAUUCAAUACACUAAAUGAUCUCACCUAGAGAUCUUACUUUCAUAUUCAAUCCGACCACUUUAAAUGACAAGAUAUACCUCUUGAAUCAAUAAUUCCUCUCAAAGUUUCACACCAAUCAAGACUUUUAAUCAUUUCAUAAUUCCUUUCAUUUUAGUGCAUAAUUUUAACUCAAACAUCUAGCAUUGGAU